rnacentral:rRNA from 1 species
GAUGAACGCUAGCUACAGGCUUAACACAUGCAAGUCGAGGGGUAACAAGAGGAAAGCUUGCUUUCCUUGUCGACGACCGGCGCACGGGUGAGUAACGCGUAUCCAACCUGCCCCCAACUAGGGAAUAACCUUGCGAAAGUAAGACUAAUACCCUAUAAUUUCCUCAGAUGUCAUCUGACGAGGAAUAAAGAUUUAUCGGUUGUGGAUGGGGAUGCGUCUGAUUAGCUUGUUGGCGGGGUAACGGCCCACCAAGGCAACGAUCAGUAGGGGUUAUGAGGAGAAGGUCCCCCACAUUGGAAGUGAGACACGGUCCAAACUCCUACGGGAGGCAGCAGUGAGGAAUAUUGGUCAAUGGGCGGAAGCCUGAACCAGCCAAGUAGCGUGCAGGAUGACGGCCCUAUGGGUUGUAAACUGCUUUUAUACAGGAAGAAAGUUAGCCACGUGUGGUUAUUUGUAGGUACUGUAUGAAUAAGCACCGGCUAACUCCGUGCCAGCCGCCGCGGUAA